rnacentral:rRNA from 1 species
UGGGGAAUAUUGGACAAUGGGCGCAAGCCUGAUCCAGCAAUGCCGCGUGUGUGAAGAAGGCCUUCGGGUUGUAAAGCACUUUUAUCAGGAGCGAAACGCUGUCGGCAAAUACCCGGCGGAACUGACGGUACCUGAGGAAUAAGCACCGGCUAACUUCGUGCCAGCAGCCGCGGUAAUACGAAGGGUGCAAGCGUUAAUCGGAAUUACUGGGCGUAAAGCGUGCGUAGGCGGUUUCUUAAGUCUGCUGUGAAAUCCCCGGGCUCAACCUGGGAAUGGCAGUGGAUACUGGGAGGCUAGAGUGUGUCAGAGGGUGGUGGAAUUCCCGGUGUAGCGGUGAAAUGCGUAGAGAUCGGGAGGAACAUCAGUGGCGAAGGCGGCCACCUGGGACAACACUGACGCUGAGGCACGAAAGCGUGGGGAGCAAACAGGAUUAGAUACCCUGGUAGUCCACGCCCUAAAACGAUGCGAACUGGAUGUUGGUCUCAACUCGGAGAUCAGUGUCGAAGCUAACGCGUUAAGUUCGCCGCCUGGGGAGUACGGUCGCAAGACUGAAACUUAAAUGAAUUGACGGGGUCAUAGCUGUUUCCUG